AGCCUUUAAAUGACUAACCCAUCUGAGAGAAUGUGGAAAAGCCACUGAAAAAGACGAUGGAAAUCUGUGUUUUAACAUGAAUAGAUUUUACAUUGACAUGGAAAAGCAUGGAUAUAACCUGCGAGGGAACAAGCAUGAUGGUAUGUAAGACUUCUGGAGAUGCAGCAGUAAAAAUAAAUGUGAGUACGUUUCCACGGAAACUGUGUGGACACUCACAUACAACAAGGAGGUGGAGGCCAUGGAUGUUGCUGAGAGAUAAUGCUUAUUCAGAUGACUAUUUUGGACAACCAAUGGAAGUUUUGCCUUUUGUAAGGUAAACCUUGAAGAAAACACAAACUGGAAUAUGAUUCAGACCAUGCGUGGCGUUGACACCGAAAUUACAGUCCUGUGUUGCUACUUGGUGAGGGUUUGGAUCUAAUUACAAGGUAUUCCCCAAACAACACCUCUCUGAGUGUCACGUGCAUGUCUGAAAAAUAACUUCUACAGAUUUCCGGCCAAAAACAUUCCCUGUAUGAAAACCUGAACCCUAGUUUGUUUAUGCACUCCUGUGCAAGAUUUCUAAGAAUCUUUCUGUGAAUCAAAAACUUCCCUGGAGCCUCACAUGGUGGCAUCCUUGUAAUCCCCACACUUCAGAAAUAAGGGCAGGGGGUAACAUGAGUCCCAGACCUGCCUGAGCUACAGAGACCUUGCCUCAAAAACAAGCACAUUCACUCAAACAAGGCCGUGUGGAGUCCCCUCCUCCCCAAGGAUGCUGGGCUAGCUAAGGUAGCAUCCAGCUGCUACUGCGUAUUCCUCCAGGCGACCUCGGGGAAGCCACCUGCCACACGCUAAGUGUGCAGGUGGGGUGACACAGUCUCUUGAGUUAUUUGUUCCAGAACACAGAAAAUGGCACAGUUAUGACCAUGUUGCCUCCUGCAGUACCUCACACCUGACCUUGAGUCACACUCCUGAAGGGUGCACCUGUGUACACUAGCAUGCUCCUCCUCUCUGAUCCUUCUCUUCUCCAUCAAGUCAACCUUGCCCUUUCUGGCUCCAGCCACGAGAGGAGAGCCCAAAUCUCUUCAGGAUACUGGCCUCAGUGACUGACGCUGAAGGUUGGAAGAAAGCAUUGCUGAUUGGGCUACAUCAAGCCACCCAGAGCUGAAGGAAGCUGAGUGUGUGCCAGCAUCAAGGCCAGCUAGCCAAUGGAGACCCAACAUCCCUUCCCUUCCUCCCCUUCAACAACACAAACAGGCUCUAUGGAAAACUGCUCAGAUGAUUCCCUUCUCAUGGACCUGUCUCCAGCCCACCAGACAGGACCAGUCAAGUCUGCAUCUUGGAAAAGACUCAAGCAGGAUCAUGGCUGUAUGCAGUAUCUCCUACACCGCAAAGCAGAAAUUUGUUUGUGGAAAGUCAGACCAGCCUGCACAGUAUGAUCAAAAGUCUGGCUUCUGACUGUUGUAGAAUGUUCUACCAUUUCAGGUCAAGUUUACAGUGGAGAAGUGUUAGAGUCCUCACUUAGUGUGUGUGAAUGCCUGGGCUCCAUUCCUAGCAUACCCUGACACACACACACACACACACACACACACACACACACACACACAGAGAGAGAGAGAGAGAGAGAGAGAGAGAGAGAGAGAGAGAGAGAGAGAGAGAGAGAGAGCUCAUGGACAUGGAUCAAGUAGUGAACUGAGUUAGACCACAGACGCCAAGGACGAUAUCGGCUAAGCUCAGAGAUAUCCAUCCUCUGAUGUCUACAAACAGUAGUGAAUUCCUUUGUUUCCUGGCUGCCUUUGGAUCUCUUGUCUCACCCCUAAAGGACAGCUAUCUGACUUGGAAAACAGGCUAAGGUUGUAGUUCAGUGCUGUGGGAUGGUCUGUAUGUCAAAUGUGUUGCUGAUUGGUCAAUAAAUAAAACACUGAUUGGCCAGUGACCAGGCAGGAAGUAGGUGGGACAAGGAGAGAGGAGAAUUCUGGGAAGUGGAAGGCUGAGUCGGAGAGACACUGCCAGCCACCACGAUGAGAAACAGCAUGUGAAGAUGCCAGUAAGCCAAGAGCCAUGUGGCAAGGUAUAGAUUUAUAGAAAUGGAUUAAUUUAAGCUGUAAGAACAGUUAGCAAGAAGCCUGCCACAGCCAUAUAGUUUGUAACCAAUAUAAGUCUCUGUGUUUACUUGGUCGGGUCUGAGCGGCUGUGGGACUGGCAGGUGAGAGAGAUUUGUCCUGACUGUGGGCCAGGCAGGAAAACUCAAGCUACAGUUCAGUGGUAGACUCUUGCCAAAUGCGUGCUAGAGGCCCGGGUUCCAAAUAAAUGCAAACCCCAAACAGCAGCAAUCACAACACCAAGCCCAGGAGAUGGUAUUGUCCUUCCUGUCUGGAUUUGUCAGUUCUGCAGAAGCAGACCAAAUCCCUGUUUAGACACAAUUUAAAGUUAGCAACACUUUCAGCUUUAUUUUAUUUGAAUCCAAAUGUUUUCUGUGACUCUUGUGAGUUCAACAAAAACACUGAACACUUUCCUAACCAACUUUAGCUCUAAAUCCUGAGGUCAUUUUGAUGACAUGCAAUUGGGCCCAUGUAAGUAUAUUCAGAGCUCUCUGGUCAUGAGGGAUAAUCUACAAAGAUACACAAAAUUUGUCAUCUUCAAAUUUGACAAUGCCACAGAAACACAACUGGUCUAAGAGAAGAUCAAUGUUUAUUGCCUCACCACUAUUUGAUAUUUAAUUUAAAUGCCACAGGUUUAUUGCCUGAAUACCCAUGCUAUCUCAAGGUUAUUGGUUAGUUUGGUUUUCACCAUGACUGGCAGCCCAAACACAGGGAGAAGCAUCAUUGCACAUUGAGGUGCUAGGCCCCUGAUAUCAGGCCCCCCUGGCCUGAGGCCAGGAAGAAGAGGGCUCAGACCAGGUGCGUGCUAUCCCUAGACAGCUGCUCUAUCUGUGUCUGCUUCCUGACUGCAGUCCUGAUGAAGUUGCCAGCACAUUCAUCCGUGAGUAAAGAUCAACUGAGACCACUCAAUAUAAGAUCGAGCCAAACAGUUAGAAAAACAUUACCCUAAUGUGCUAAAAAAUAGAUGUAAAAUAUGUAAAGAGA